ACUCUUGUUGUUAAAGAAGAACAAAUCUGAGAGUAACUGUUCAGGUAUUGACGGUAUUUAACCAGAAAGCACGGCUACUACGUGCCAGCAGCGCGGUAAUACGUAGGUGGCAAGCGUGUCCGGAUUUAUUGGGCGUAAAGCGAGCGCAGGCGGUUUUUAAGUCUGAUGUGAAAGCGUCGGCUCAACCGAAGAAGUGCAUCGGAAACUGGGAAACUUGAGUGCAGAAGAGGACAGUGGAACUCCAUGUGUAGCGGUGAAAUGCGUAGAUAUAUGGAAGAACACCAGUGGCGAAGGCGGCUGUCUGGUCUGUAACUGACGCUGAGGCUCGAAAGUAUGGGUAGCAAACAGGAUUAGAUACCCUGGUAGUCCAUACCGUAAACGAUGAAUGCUAAGUGUUGGAGGGUUUCCGCCCUUCAGUGCUGCAGCUAACGCAUUAAGCAUUCCGCCUGGGGAGUACGGCCGCAAGGCUGAAACUCAAAGGAAUUGACGGGGGCCCGCACAAGCGGUGGAGCAUGUGGUUUAAUUCGAAGCUACGCGAAGAACCUUACCAGGUCUUGACAUACUAUGCAAAUCUAAGAGAUUAGACGUUCCCUUCGGGGACAUGGAUACAGGUGGUGCAUGGUUGUCGUCAGCUCGUGUCGUGAGAUGUUGGGUUAAGUCCCGCAACGAGCGCAACCCUUAUUAUCAGUUGCCAGCAUUAAGUUGGGCACUCUGGUGAGACUGCCGGUGACAAACCGGAGGAAGGUGGGGAUGACGUCAAAUCAUCAUGCCCCUUAUGACCUGGGCUACACACGUGCUACAAUGGAUGGUACAACGAGUUGCGAACUCGCGAGAGUAAGCUAAUCUCUUAAAGCCAUUCUCAGUUCGGAUUGUAGGCUGCAACUCGCCUACAUGAAGUCGGAAUCGCUAGUAAUCGCGGAUCAGCAUGCCGCGGUGAAUACGUUCCCGGGCCUUGUACACACCGCCCGUCACACCAUGAGAGUUUGUAACACCCAAAGUCGGUGGGGUAACCUUUUAGGAACCAGCCGCUAAGGUGACAAAU
rnacentral:rRNA from 1 species